UUCAGAUUGAAGCAGUACAACUGUGCCA
rnacentral:sRNA from 1 species